GUUAGGACCGUGUGGGGCGGGUGUUUGGUUUGCAUUUAAUGACUUUGCUUGUCUUUUUAUCAACAACACACCUCUCCUUCUACUACCCUCACUCAUACACUCACACAUAUCACGUUAUUCAUCAUUUUCACACACUCUCUUUCAAAUAUUACUAUCAUAGUCAUACAUCUAAAAAUUAGAGAGAAAGAACUUUAUAUAUGUUGUAGGAAGUAAUUUGAUUUGAGGGGAAUGUUGUUUGGCUCGAAGCCACCCGGAAUCUUCAAUCUUGAUUAUUGAUUGUAGAAUCCGGGUGCCGUCGGACCAGGCUUCAUUCCCCUCAAUUGUACUUCUUGUCAUAGAAACACCUAUAUAUUAUCCUGUUUCAUGAUAAGAUUUAAUAUUUGAUAGAUGAAGGAGAAGCUAGCUAGAUUGGUGUAAUGAUGAAGAAUAAUGCUUUGAUCUCUAGCUUUAUGUGAAAUACACAGAAACAGGAAUUAGGAUAUAUGCUACUUUAGAAAGGUGAUUUAAUCAUUGCUAUUCGAAACAGUUUCCAAAUUUAAUUGAAAACUUUUUUUUUUGUUGUUGUUGUUGAGUGAGUAUUUAUUGAUUACAUAUUGUCAGUCUUUUAGUAAACCAGUUAUAAUGAUGGUUGCAAGAAUGUGCUAUGUCUGUAUCUGCUCUUAUUAUUUACCCUUGGCUACUUUUAGCAUUGAUGCUAUUAUUGACUUUAGUAUCACUCUUCCCUCAUCAUUACCUUAUGAUUCUCACAUGAUCAUUUUUUCAUCUUUCAUUCACUCUAGGGUUUGAUUUUGCAUGAUAUGUUAUAUUUGUACAAUAAUGCUUCUACUUUUUUCUUAAUUUUCUUCUUCGAUCUUGAUGUAUUUGUUUUCUAAUUAAAGGAUUGGAUACCGCUGUUGUUGUUAUAUGCGUUUCUGUGUGUUGCUGUAUGGUUGAAUUAGUUGUCUUACAAUACUGCUGCUAUACAUACAUACAUGAAGGCUAGAAUGAUACAUUACGGAGCAUUAAUUUAUUACAAUAGACUACUGAUCGAUCGAUUGAUUUGAUUGCCAUAGAUGAUGUUCAUCUAAUGUACCCUCACUAUUUAUGGUGGAAUAAUUCUGCAAUAGAUAUAUUUUAUUAAAUUAUUUAUCUAAGUACUAAUUAUAAUCUGUUCAUUUUUUAUUUUUAAACUUGAAUAAAAAGUUUGUGGUUAGUUAUGGUUUUGAUAAGAUAGGUUGCUGGCAAACUGAAGUUGGGUCAGAUUAUAAAGAGCUUCAUCCCGGAGAAAACAAAAAGCUUUCAACGAAACUUGAUCUGCAUACGAGGCUUAAUUUCAAUUGAAACUGGUCAUUUAAAUACAAUCUCUGAUUAUUGCAAAUUGUAAUUUACAACAAUUUAAUGAAUGAGAUGUUAGAUCGGAUAAUGUAGCAUACAGGAUAAGUAAUUAGUUUGUCAAGUAGAUAAAUGACAUGAAUGGCCUUUUAAAAACGUGUCAAUAGAUAUGAUCCAAACGAGCUGGUUGUUCUCGUGACUAAGUAA